rnacentral:rRNA from 1 species
CCUUGACAUACUAAGAACUUUUCCAGAGAUUGGAUUGGUGCCUUUCGGGAACUUUAGAUACAGGUGCUGCAUGGCUGUCGUCAGCUCGUGUCGUGAGAUUGUUGGGUUAAGUCCCCGCAACGAGCGCAACCCUUUUUCCUUAUUUGCCAGCGGGUCAUGCCGGGAACUUUUAAGGAUACUGCCAGUGACAAACUGGAGGAAGGCGGGGACGACGUCAAGUCAUCAUGGCCCUUACGGCCAGGGCUACACACGUGCUACAAUGGUCGGUACAAAGGGUUGCUACCUCGCGAGAGGAUGCUAAUCUCAAAAAGCCGAUCGUAGUCCGGAUCGCAGUCUGCAACUCGACUGCGUGAAGUCGGAAUCGCUAGUAAUCGCGGAUCAGAAUGCCGCGGUGAAUACGUUCCCGGGCCUUGUACACACCGCCCGUCACACCAUGGGAGUUUGUUGCACCAGAAGUAGGUAGUCUAACCGCAAGGAGGACGCUUACCACGGUGUGGCCGAUGACUGGGGUGAAGUCGUAACAAGGUAGGCGUAGAUGA